ensembl:lncRNA
GUUCUCAUGAAGACUUGUUAUGAAGACUUGUCAUGGAGGAGUUGUCAUGGAGGAGUUGUCAUGAAGAGUUGCAUGGGAGAGUUGUAAUAGAGGAGUUGUUAUGAAGGAGUUGUCAUGGUGGAGUUGUCAUGGAAGAUUGUCAUGAAGAGUUGUCAUGGAGGAGUUGUUAUGAAGGAGUUGUCAUGGUGGAGUUGUCAUGAAGACUUGUCAUGAAGAGUUUUCAUGGAGGAGUUGUUAUGAAGGAGUUGUCAUGAAGGAGUUGUCAUGGGAGAGUUGUCAUGAAGGAGUUGUCA